rnacentral:lncRNA from 1 species
AGAGGCUGGAUAUACAAAGAGACAAUGGUGUGACCAUCUGUACAAAUGGAACUAUGGCCCACAACCUGCAGCAGCCAGCCCAGGAAGCCAACCUGUCACCUGCAGUAGCCAGGAUGGAUGCUGGCCUGCCCUCAGAGUCUGAGAGACUGACUCUCCUGCCCCAGAGUGUGGGCUCCACUACCCUCCUGCCUGCCGUGGGAAAUCAGGAGGGUGAAGGUGAAGCUGGACUUUGCCCAGAGGUGCCCACAGGGACGCCCAGAGCUGCACAAGCUCCCUCCAUCUUGCCUCUGGGACCAGCUCUGCAUUGCUCCAAAGCCCUCAUCAGUGUCUGCUUUCUGUUGCAAUAACUGAAUACCUGAGAUUGGAAAAUUUAUAAAGAAAAAAAUUAUAUCUGA